CCAGGAAAUGAAGAGGGAUUGUCAAAGCUGUAAUUGUUGGUUGACAUGGUGAAAUGUUUGGUGAUGGAAUCAUUUUAAAACACUAUUAUGGAUCAUGAUUAUGAAUUUGAUCAGAUUAUUUGUUUUCUCACCUGCAGUCCAAACCAUAUCUCCACAGUUGCCGUGACCCUUGCUCCAUCAAACAUCGAAAUAUAGCAGUAUUGCUGACAUUCAACACCGGCAGCUUUUCUUGGCAAAGUCUCAACAAAUAAAGAGGCAAAGUGUUAUCUUGGUUUGCACUCUGCGGUGGAACAGCAUACAACUGGAUUUCACACGUCUGUGUUAGUUCUGGAGAGAAUGCAUUUAAAGAGCACAGAGUGGAAAUGAGUCCAGAGUUGAACGGAUCCAUGUUAACGCGUUUCCAAGCAGCAAGAGGAUCUGACACCACUUUUGAUUGCUGGCAGCCUGGACAUUAAUGUAGGAUGGAAGGAACCAGACCAACCACCCAUCAGAUUGCAUCUGAUCAUGUGAUGUGAGCUCUGUCCACUGUUUUAUUCCCGGUGUUGGAUUCCGAGUGUGUGGAUGUGUAUUUCCUGGCUCCUUAAUGUCACUUCAAAAGAAGGAUGACAGGCUGAAUCAACCCACCUGGUGGUAUUUCAACAGCACAACAGGGGCUCAAACUCAAGACCCUAAGAUCUUCAGCCAGCCACCUCAGCUGUUAAGCCAACACCAGGCUUAGAUGAUAAGCUGAACUACUGCAACGGAAGUGACCAACACCAAGCGACAAGACAUAAAGACGAUUAUGAAGCUGCUGUGGCUGUUCCCUCUUCUUCUCAUUCCCUGCUCCACCUGGAGGGGGGG
rnacentral:lncRNA from 1 species